rnacentral:misc_RNA from 1 species
GAUGAAGAACGCAGCGAAAUGCGAUAAGUAAUGUGAAUUGCAGAAUUCAGUGAAUCAUCGAAUCUUUGAACGCACAUUGCGCCCGCCAGUAUUCUGGCGGGCAUGCCUGUUCGAGCGUCAUUACAACCCUCAGGCCCCCGGGCCUGGCGUUGGGGAUCGGCGGAGCCCCCCGUGGGCACACGCCGUCCCCCAAAUACAGUGGCGGUCCCGCCGCAGCUUCCAUCGCGUAGUAGCUAACACCUCGCGACUGGAGAGCGGCGCGGCCACGCCGUAAAACACCCAACUCUUCUGAAAUUGACCUCGAAUCAGGUAGGAAUACCCGCUGAACUUAAGCAUAUCAAUAAGCGGAGGA